rnacentral:rRNA from 1 species
GAUGAACGCUGGCGGCGUGCCUAAUACAUGCAAGUCGAGCGAACAGAUGAGGAGCUUGCUCCUCUGACGUUAGCGGCGGACGGGUGAGUAACACGUGGAUAACCUUCCUAUAAGACUGGGAUAACUUCGGGAAACCGGAGCUAAUACCGGAUAAUAUAUUGAACCGCGUGGUUCAAUAGUGAAAGACGGUUUUGCUGUCACUUAUAGAUGGAUCCGCGCCGCAUUAGCUAGUUGGUAAGGUAACGGCUUACCAAGGCAACGAUGCGUAGCCGACCUGAGAGGGUGAUCGGCCACACUGGAACUGAGACACGGUCCAGACUCCUACGGGAGGCAGCAAUAGGGAAUCUUCCGCAAUGGGCGAAAGCCCGACGGAGCAACGCCGCGUGAGUGAUGAAGGUCUUCGGAUCGUAAAACUCUGUUAUUAGGGAAGAACAAAUGUGUAAGUAACUAUGCACGUCUUGACGGUACCUAAUCAGAAAGCCACGGCUAACUACGUG